rnacentral:rRNA from 1 species
GAUGAACGCUGGCGGCGUGCCUAAUACAUGCAAGUCGAGCGAACGUACGAGCAGCUUGCUUCUCUGAUGUUAGCGGCGGACGGGUUAGUAACCCGUGGAUAACCUACCUAUCAGCCUGGGAUAACUUCGGGAAACCGUAGCUAAUACCGGAUAAUAUUUUGAACCGCAUGGUUCAAAAGUGAAAGACGGUCUUGCUGUCACUUAUAGAUGGAUCCGCGCUGCAUUAGCUAGUUGGUAAGGUAACGGCUUACCAAGGCAACGAUGCAUAGCCGACCUGAGAGGGUGAUCGGCCACACUGGAACGGAGACACGGUCCAGACUCCUACGGGAGGCAGCAGUAGGGAAUCUUCCGCAAUGGGCGAAAGCCUGACGGAGCAACGCCGCGUGAGUGAUGAAGAUCUUCGGAUCGUAAAACUCUGUUAUUAGGGAAGAACAUAUGUGUAAGUAACUGUGCACAUCUUGACGGUACCUAAUCAGAAAGCCACGGCUAACUACGUG